UCAGGAUAUCUUGAUUAAUUAAUAUAUUAUAUUAUUUUUUGUUUAUUUAUUUUUUAAUAAAAAUAAUUUUAUUGUUUGUUUGUUUUAGUAUAUUUUAUAGAAUAAAUUUGUUUAAUUAUAGUGUAUUUAUAAUGUGAUUGGUUUAUGAAAUAUUUUUUAUUAGAUAAAAGUAGAUUUAGUUUAUUGUACCUUUUGUAUCAGGGUUUAUUAAAAUUGUAUUAUUUAUUUAAUUAUCUCGAUUUAGAUUGAUUUAUGAUCAACUUAUUUUUAAUGUUUUAUAAUUAUUUUAGAGUUGAUCAUAGAAAUGAAAUGUUAAUCGUUUUCUAAGUUAUCUAGUUUCUUAAGAAAAAAUUUAAUUUUUUAUAGUUAAUUUUGUUUAUCUAAUUUUUUAGAUAAAAAUAUUAUCUAGUUUAUUUUUUAGGGGAUAAGCUCUAAAAAUAAUAUCCUAUAAUAUUUAUUGUUAAAUUUAAUAGUAAGCUUUAGACCAGCUAUCUUUAAUGAUUACGUUUUAUUUCAUUAUUUUAUAUUUUGAUUUUAUAAUUAUUUUAGGUUUAUUAUUAAGAUGAAGAAUUUAAUUUUAUAAUUUUUGUAAUAAUGAUGGGAUUAGUAUAUUAGUUAGUUUAUAAUUUUUUUAGAAAGAAUUUAUUAUAAGGAAUUAGGCAAUUUUAAUUUCCGCCUGUUUAUCAAAAACAUGUCCUCUUGUUAAUAUUUUGAGGUCUGGUCUGCUCACUGAAAGUUUUAAAUAGCCGCGGUAUUUUGACCGUGCAAAGGUAGCAUAAUCAUUAGUCUUUUAAUUGAAGACUGGAAUGAAUGGUUUGACGAGAAAUUAACUGUCUCAUAAUAAUUUAUAGAAUUUAACUUUUAAGUUAAAAGGCUUAAAUUUUGUUUUAGGACGAGAAGACCCUAUAGAGCUUAACAUAAAUAUUAUAUUUGGUUUUUAGUUAAUCUUUCCAUAUUUAGUGAUAAUGUUUUGUUGGGGUGACAUGAAGAAUAAAUAAACUUUUCAUUUUAAAAUCAUUGAUUUAUGUUUAUCUUGAUCCAUAAUUUAUGAUCAUAAGAUUAAGUUACCUUAGGGAUAACAGCGUAAUUGUUUUUGAGAGCUCAUAUCAACAAAAUAGAUUGCGACCUCGAUGUUGGAUUAAGAUUAGUUUUAGGUGCAGUAGUCUAAAAACUAGGUCUGUUCGACCUUUAAAUUCUUACAUGAUCUGAGUUCAGACCGGCGUAAGCCAGGUCGGUUUCUAUCCUAAAUUAUAUAAUUAUUCAUAUUAGUACGAAAGGACCAUAUGAAUAAAAUAUUUUUUUAUUUGGAAUAAUAUUAAUAUUUACUAUUUUGACAGAUUAAUGUAUUGAAUUUAGAAUUCAUUUAUGU
rnacentral:rRNA from 1 species